AGGCUUGUUCAACUAUCCCUGUUUCGGCUUUGGCCAAAAUAAAAAUAUGUUUAAACCAACUCCUGUUUCAUAAAAAUAUUUGAGGACGUGAUGUGUUCCACAUGAGAGUCGAUUUUGUAUAUGUAUGUCAAAUUAUGUCAAAGAUGAAUUUCACAUUCUUUAAAAAUGUCCACAUUGAUAUUCGUGAAACAUAUGUUACAAAUAUACUGUUUGAUUUGCAUUUAGAAGUUGGA